AUGCAGUCGAGCGAACUGAUUAGAAGCUUGCUUCUAUGACGUUAGCGGCGGACGGGUGAGUAACACGUGGGCAACCUGCCUGUAAGACUGGGAUAACUUCGGGAAACCGAAGCUAAUACCGGAUAGGAUCUUCUCCUUCAUGGGAGAUGAUUGAAAGAUGGUUUCGGCUAUCACUUACAGAUGGGCCCGCGGUGCAUUAGCUAGUUGGUGAGGUAACGGCUCACCAAGGCAACGAUGCAUAGCCGACCUGAGAGGGUGAUCGGCCACACUGGGACUGAGACACGGCCCAGACUCCUACGGGAGGCAGCAGUAGGGAAUCUUCCGCAAUGGACGAAAGUCUGACGGAGCAACGCCGCGUGAGUGAUGAAGGCUUUCGGGUCGUAAAACUCUGUUGUUAGGGAAGAACAAGUACAAGAGUAACUGCUUGUACCUUGACGGUACCUAACCAGAAAGCCACGGCUAACUACGUGCCAGCAGCCGCGGUAAUACGUAGGUGGCAAGCGUUAUCCGGAAUUAUUGGGCGUAAAGCGCGCGCAGGCGGUUUCUUAAGUCUGAUGUGAAAGCCCACGGCUCAACCGUGGAGGGUCAUUGGAAACUGGGGAACUUGAGUGCAGAAGAGAAAAGCGGAAUUCCACGU
rnacentral:rRNA from 2 species